GGUCAGUGCAGGGUUCCUCCAUCUUGACAUGAGUAAAUUCUAGAUUAGGUAUUUGGCAGUUAACUCAUCUGGAUAUAUGGGAACAGAAGUGCCAGACACGUAGAUAAUAUUUGGAGAACAGGAGCAGACUUGGAACAUGCUGAAUAGAGGACAAGGAAAUGAGAAGAAUGUAUAUUCUGUGACUGUUGGAUGAAGUGAUCUGUAGAUGUCUAUCAGGUCCAACUGGAAUUAUACUUUGGUGAAGUCCAGUAAUUCAAGUGUUUGGCUAACAAUCAUCAAGGCCACAAAAACCCAGCCUCUGCUCUUGGCAGUAUCAGGAACUUCAUGGAAUACAUCACUUUCAAAUUGCAGCUGCAAAUGGUCUUGUUAAAGGUAUCAUCAGACAAACUUAAAGAUGAUCUGACAAUGUCAUUUUCCAAGGGACUGAUAGAAAGAUUGAGUAUCAUGAAAUCAGAACAGACAACAGAGAAUCAGAUUUGGACUGAAUCAGAAUAAACAGGCAAUGCAGACAAUUGUUUUCUGAAUCACAAUCAAGACUCAGUGCUGGAACAGAUUUGAGGAAUGUAUACAAUUCUUAUCUAAACUAACGUCUGAUAUUUAACUAGGAAUCAACUUACUCUGGGGAGCUUUGUUGAGAGUAGAUUUUUUGAGGAAAGAAUUGAAGGAGUGGCCAUAUUCAUACUAGAAUAAAGCAUAGGAGAUGUCAAGAUUAUCUGAAGGGGAGAGAAGAGACACCAGAUACUUGCACACACAGAAGAAAUACCAUGUACAAACAUACCCAGAAGGCCACCAUCUGCAAGAAAAGGAGAGAGACCUCAGAAUACACCAAUGCUGUUGAAACCUUCAUCUUGGA